GAUGAACGCUGGCGGCGUGCCUAAUACGUGCAAGUCGAGCGAACGGACGAGAAGCUUGCUUCUCUGAUGUUAGCGGCGGACGGGUGAGUAACACGUGGAUAACCUACCUAUAAGACUGGGAUAACUUCGGGAAACCGGAGCUAAUACCGGAUAAUAUUUUGAACCGCAUGGUUCAAAAGUGAAAGACGGUCUUGCUGUCACUUAUAGAUGGAUCCGCGCUGCAUUAGCUAGUUGGUAAGGUAACGGCUUACCAAGGCAACGAUGCAUAGCCGACCUGAGAGGGUGAUCGGCCACACUGGAACUGAGACACGGUCCAGACUCCUACGGGAGGCAGCAGUAGGGAAUCUUCCGCAAUGGGCGAAAGCCUGACGGAGCAACGCCGCGUGAGUGAUGAAGGUCUUCGGAUCGUAAAACUCUGUUAUUAGGGAAGAACAUAUGUGUAAGUAACUGUGCACAUCUUGACGGUACCUAAUCAGAAAGCCACGGCUAACUACGUGCCAGCAGCCGCGGUAAUACGUAGGUGGCAAGCGUUAUCCGGAAUUAUUGGGCGUAAAGCGCGCGUAGGCGGUUUUUUAAGUCUGAUGUGAAAGCCCACGGCUCAACCGUGGAGGGUCAUUGGAAACUGGAAAACUUGAGUGCAGAAGAGGAAAGUGGAAUUCCAUGUGUAGCGGUGAAAUGCGCAGAGAUAUGGAGGAACACCAGUGGCGAAGGCGACUUUCUGGUCUGUAACUGACGCUGAUGUGCGAAAGCGUGGGGAUCAAACAGGAUUAGAUACCCUGGUAGUCCACGCCGUAAACGAUGAGUGCUAAGUGUUAGGGGGUUUCCGCCCCUUAGUGCUGCAGCUAACGCAUUAAGCACUCCGCCUGGGGAGUACGACCGCAAGGUUGAAACUCAAAGGAAUUGACGGGGACCCGCACAAGCGGUGGAGCAUGUGGUUUAAUUCGAAGCAACGCGAAGAACCUUACCAAAUCUUGACAUCCUUUGACAACUCUAGAGAUAGAGCUUUCCCCUUCGGGGGACAAAGUGACAGGUGGUGCAUGGUUGUCGUCAGCUCGUGUCGUGAGAUGUUGGGUUAAGUCCCGCAACGAGCGCAACCCUUAAGCUUAGUUGCCAUCAUUAAGUUGGGCACUCUAAGUUGACUGCCGGUGACAAACCGGAGGAAGGUGGGGAUGACGUCAAAUCAUCAUGCCCCUUAUGAUUUGGGCUACACACGUGCUACAAUGGACAAUACAAAGGGCAGCGAAACCGCGAGGUCAAGCAAAUCCCAUAAAGUUGUUCUCAGUUCGGAUUGUAGUCUGCAACUCGACUACAUGAAGCUGGAAUCGCUGGUAAUCGUAGAUCAGCAUGCUACGGUGAAUACGUUCCCGGGUCU
rnacentral:rRNA from 1 species